CACUCCUACGGGAGGCAGCAGUGGGGAAUAUUGGACAAUGGGCGCAAGCCUGAUCCAGCCAUGCCGCGUGAGUGAUGAAGGCCCUAGGGUUGUAAAGCUCUUUCACCGGAGAAGAUAAUGACGGUAUCCGGAGAAGAAGCCCCGGCUAACUUCGUGCCAGCAGCCGCGGUAAUACGAAGGGGGCUAGCGUUGUUCGGAAUUACUGGGCGUAAAGCGCACGUAGGCGGAUCGAUCAGUCAGGGGUGAAAUCCCAGGGCUCAACCCUGGAACUGCCUUUGAUACUGUCGAUCUGGAGUAUGGAAGAGGUGAGUGGAAUUCCGAGUGUAGAGGUGAAAUUCGUAGAUAUUCGGAGGAACACCAGUGGCGAAGGCGGCUCACUGGUCCAUUACUGACGCUGAGGUGCGAAAGCGUGGGGAGCAAACAGGAUUAGAAACCCGAGUAGUCCC
rnacentral:rRNA from 1 species